rnacentral:rRNA from 1 species
CAAUAGCGUAUAUUAAAGUUGUUGCAGUUAAAAAGCUCGUAGUUGGAUUUGUGGCGUACGGUGUGUUCCGGGCACUUGUUGUCUGAGUAACCUGCUGUUGCCAUCCUUGGGUGGAACCUGUGUGGCAUUAGGUUGUCGUGCAGGGGAUGCCCAUCAUUUACUGUGAAAAAAUUAGAGUGUUCAAAGCAGGCUUAUGCCGUUGAAUAUAUUAGCAUGGAAUAAUGAGAUAGGACUUUUUUGCUAUUUUGUUGGUUUGCGCAAGAAGGUAAUGAUUAAUGGGGACAGUUGGGGGUAUUCGUAUUCCAUUGUCAGAGGUGAAAUUCUUGGAUUUUUGGAAGACGAACUACUGCGAAAGCAUUUACCAAGGAUGUUUUCAUUAA